CAGUCUCUCCUGUAGAUGUCGUGGCCUCUGUUGUGAGUCCUUCAGGUCCAGCAGCAGGGGGCAGUAGUGUGACUCUGACCUGUAACACAAGUGAGGCCAACACUCCAGUGCAGAACUACACCUGGUUUAGAGGAGACCUGCACACCCCUAUAGGAUCUGGACAAACCCUCACCUUUAAUCUCAGCUCCAGUGAUGAAGGACAGUACUACUGCAGGGCAGAACAUUCACAAGGGGGAAAGGAGUCUGAUGCAGUGAGACUGGUGAUUAAAAAACAAAGCCAAAGUUUCCUGGCUAUAGGAAUCACGGUAAAGUGUCUGGCUGCAUUUAUCAUAACCAUCUUGGUCAUUGAUGUUGUGAGGUGGCAAAAAUCCCAUCAGAAGAUAAAACCGGGUGGGCAUCGCCAGGUAAAUUAACUUCAGUAACAGAUAAGAGUGACAUGACACUGUCAUAACCCUACCACUAACCUGUACACUCGGUCAAAAACGGUAACACUUUACUUUAGGUUUCUAAAUAAGAGUGACAUGACAUAACCCUAACCCAACUUGUCAUGACAAAACCCGAAUAACACUUGACAGAAGCGUGUGACAGAAGCGUUAUGUCUUAAACGUUUAUGUCUUGUUUAUAAUGUUUAUGACAUGUUCAUGACAGUGUCAUGUCACUCAUAUGUAGAUCCCUUCAAGUAAAUUGUAACCCUAACUUCUUUACAAUAGUGUCACAACA